rnacentral:rRNA from 1 species
CCCUUAGAUGAUUUGGGCUGCACGCGCGCUACACUGACCCUAACAAUGAGCAACUGUCUGGCCUGAGAUGGCUGGGUAGCCUUUUCAACCCAUGUCAUGAUUGGGCUAGAUUUUUGUAAGUCUUGAUCUCUAACGAGGAAUCCCUAGUAUGCGUGAAUCAUCAAUCCAUGCAGAUUAUGUCCCUGCCCUUUGUACACACCGCCCGUCGCUCCUACUAAUUGGGUGAUCCGGUGAGCUGUUCGGCCAUAGCAAUGUUUCUUGAGCAGGGCAAUGAAUGUUUCGCAAACCUUGCCACUUAGAGGAAGGAGAAGUCGUAACA